ensembl:lncRNA
AAGCUCACAGUCUGUAGUAUAAGGUACUGACAGAGGCUCACAGUCCGCAGUAUAAAGUACUAACAGAGGCUCACAGUCCGCAGUAUAAAGUACUAACAGAGGCUCACAGUCCGCAGUAUAAAGUACUAGGCUAUUACAGAGGCACUAUCAGAAUCCCUCCAAUCAGAUAGACACACAUGCACACACACACACACACACACACACACACACACACACACACACACACAUUCUUCUUCUAUUAAAGUCCAGCAGGGGACGAGCUCGAUAAUGAAAUCUGUUCUGUUCUCUUCUGAACCUCAGAUCCACUUCCUCUCCUCCUCUCCAGCUGUCUUCUUGUCUCCUUCCUCAAUUUCAUCCUCUCCUCCUCUCCUCUCCUCUCCUCCCCUUCUCCUGUUCUCAUCUCCAGCUGUCCUUCCUUUCCUAUAGUCCCGAUUCUCCUCCCCAUCCUCAAUCUCAUUCUCUCCUCUCCUUCCUAAAUUGAAUUCUCAUUCUCAUUCUCUCCUCCUCCUGUAUCCUCUCCCCUACUCCUCUCCUUUUCAUCCCCCUCCUCCUCUCCUCUCCUUCCUAAAUGUCAUUGUCUCCUUCUCUCCUUCCUAUAUCUCAUCCUCUCCUAGUCCUCUUCCCCUCCUAAUCCUCUCCUUCUCCUAAUUCUCCCCUCCCCCUCCUCCUCCCCUCCUUCUCCUCUCCUCAUCCUCCCCUCCUUCCUAAAUCUCCUCCUCCCCUCCUCCUCUUCCUCUCCUUCCUGAAUCACGUCCUCUCCUUCUCCUCCUCUCCCCUAAUCCUUUCCUCCUCUCCUUCUCCUUAUCAACCUCAUUAUGUGAACUUUCCUCCCCUCUGUGUCGAAAUAUUAAUCUUAUUAACACAAUUGAAUUGCAGCUGAAAAUUGAGCAACACGAGAACCUUUAGAGCUUUAACUAGGAUGAUCGGGUCGUUUUAGUUAAACUGAUGACAUGAGUUCAUAUCUUUUAUAUUUUGAAGGCAUUCCACAGAUUUCAUUUACGUCAUAAUUUAUUCAUUAAUUAAUUGUCAAUUUAAGUCACAACUCAAACUUCAGUCUGGAUGCUUCCGUUUGACGUGAAGCCUGAAUCCUCCAUCUCCUUCUUUACGUCCCUGCCCAAAGGUCGUGACCCCGGCCCGAGGGUCCGCCUCUAAGUGGUUUCACUGCUUUUAUCGCCCUCGCUGUCAGCUCCUCGCCAGCAGCCACGACCUCUUCUGGCGAGUAAACAGCUGCGGUCAGCAGGGGACGGCUGGUAGCUUGAAGAUAGCCGCGUCCAGACGAGGAGUCCUCAUUCCGCGGCGCAUUGAUGAGCUGCGGUGCCGACGCAGAGGAGCAUCGUGCUGCUCUGAGAGGAAAAAAACGAUUCCCUGAUUCUCUGGUUCAUACAGAGAGUGUAAGAAGAGAGCGAGGUGGAGGAAUUUAAUCAGCUGAAAGCGGUUCGGAGCAGCUGCUGUGUGGAAGAGGUUUUAAAAUUCCAGCCUCACCGCAGGUUCACCGCAGAUGUUUCUACAGUUUCAUCUUCAGCAGAAACACCUACGGAUGAAGCACCACCCUCCUCCGCCAGCAGAACUACGAGUCCACAAAGCCUCCACCCUGGUGGCCGAGGGGUUAAUUGAUCACUCAUUGAUUCUCACGCUGAAAACACAUUUCUCAUUUCACGUUUUGAUGCCAGUGUUUCAUGGGUAUUAAUGAGUGAUCUUCCUCCUCGCGCGUCCACGAGGAGUGUGAGGGACAGGAAGGAGGGAGGCAGCAGCGAGGUGGAGGAUAAUCCUCCCCUGAUCAAAGACUUUCAAAACAGUAAAUAAAUGUUUUUUACGUCAUCAGGCAGAACCCAGCAGCUCAGAGUCACACUGGAUUUAUUUCACACCCAGAACACAACAACCACGCGACGACACAAGCGGCGAGGGGGGAGACAGAAUGUGUCGACACUGCCAGAGGAUCUCACACUGGAGACAAAACAGCAAAACACAGAAGAAGAGACUCCCGAGCUCUCUGGGGAGGAGAUGUGAUGCUAAGUAUCAUCGCUGAUGAAGAGGAGGCCGACUGUUUACCCUUAAACUCAAGAGGGCUUUUGUGGUGAUGGAUAAAAUCUGCUGAACGAUGACAGGAGGCUUCACAAACACUAUUGUUCACGUACACAACGUACAACACGCUCAGGUUCAAGGUCACGAACACAAACACGGCCUAGGAGGUCAUUUUUGAUUCAUAAUUAAAUAAUUUCCCGUCAACGGUUUUUGGGUUAUCUUAUAAAAAGUAAAUAUUAGGGCCGUCAAUAGAUUAAAAAAUAAACUAAUUAGUUUUCAAUUUAGUUUGAAAAAGGAUUAAUCGCGAUUAAUCGCAAUUAAUGAAUGUUGUUACAAUGUUGUUUUGAAUGAAUGUUUGUUUGUCUUCUAAAGACUAAAUCUUAAUAGUAGCGUGUAUUUUACACACUGUUGUUUAAUUGUUAAUGUUAUUUUAAACACAAAGCUACACACAUUUUUUCAUCUUGGAGGCAGAAUUCCACCUGGUGGAUCAUGUUGAACUAGCGACUCUUCCUGUUGUCCUCGUGCACUUUGCUCUCAACUCUCCAUCAUUUAACGGCUGCGUUUGAAGAGCCAACAAUCUCCCACAUUUAGUCAGAACGUUUUCACACCACCGUCUUUUAGGGACACAGUGGUGGUCCUCUGCAGACUGCAGGGUAACGUUAGAUGUUGAGAUGGAAGUAGCCUAGCAGCUAGCUUAGCCUAGCAGCUAGCUUAUAGCAUACAGUUCUCCGCUGUAUGUCGCGCCUCUGUUUGUCUUACUUACAAUCCAAAUAAAAUUCUGACUCCCCAGGAAACUACUCAUUUGUAUUUAGGAAAAGAUAAAAACCUUUUUUCACACAUGGUUUUAUUUUGAAGUCUGAAUUAUAAUUAUUAUUAGAACACAUCACGUUGACAAUAUCAUCAAUACGGACGAUCGGGUGUGAAGAACAAUCGAACCCGACUUCCAUCCUGUGCAAGAAGAUAGUUGGUGGUUUUCUCAGCAGCAGAAGUGACGACCUUGAAAGAGACCCGAGUGUGUUGUUAUUCAGUUUGUGUGCGAUGUUACAGGAAUAAAUACAAGUGGCGUCUGUAACCUACUUAAGUUUUAUACUGAAUAUAAAUAUGUCUUAUUUUGGUUAUCAGUUGGAAAUGUUCCUCACUAAUGUCUGAGAGCCUGAAGGCAGCUCAGGGCUCUGUGUGUGUGUGUGUGUGUGUGUGUGUGUGUGUGUGUGUGUGUGUGUGUCUGUGGUAGCAGGAAAAUCUUUGAAUGAAGCCGAGCUUGUGUUGAUGAACGUGAACUGAAUUCAUGACAAACUGGAAGCUUUUAAUUCUCAUUUGUCCCACAGGACAUGAACAUGGCGUCACACAUGUUGGUCCAGACCUUGCGUAUUCGUGUGUGUGUGUGUGUGUGUGUGUGUGUGUGUGUGUAAUAAGCGAUCUCCAGCUGGUCUGAGAUCAGGCUGAUGUGUUUAUCGGCCUGCAGAGACUAAAUGGUGGGCAGCUAUUAUCAGCUCAUUACGUCUCCUGACGCGGGAGUCCUAACAAGAUUCCGUCUGGCGGUUAAUCUAGAUUAUGACGUCACCACGGCUUUCUGCUUAUUAAAAAAAGGUCAGAGGUCACAGGCCGCUACAACUCCAUCCAACACAGUUCCAAGAGUGCUUUGCUAAAAGACAUGGAGGAUUCCUUUGUGGUUUUCCUGGGUCCAUCUUUCCUCUCACUUCAGGAACCCCUUACAGUUCAAAUAAUUCUUUUUUUUUUCGCAGUUAAAACAAAGUUCUGUCAAGGAAAUGUCAAUGAAAUCAAUAACCUGUCACAGUGGACAGUUUUACUCCAGUGUUUACCUGCAGCUAUAAAGAUCAUUUGAACUACAGAUAUUUGUGUAACCACCACCAACUGAAACAUAGAUUCAAAUAAAACUGUUCAAUGAUUCAACAUGUUUUGCGUAUCUGAACAACCAAAUCUACGUUUUUAACACCAGCUGAAGUUAAUUCAAAGCCGUGAUGAGUUCUUCAGCUGACCAGGAGUCUGUAGUCCGGCCUUUCCGUGAGAAGAGAGCAAAGCGCCGAUAAAAUAUUAAGCAAAAUUUGAUUUGAGGUUUCAGCUUGUUUAUAUCUUUUAUAACUGAAAUGUGCUUCCAGCCACGGCUCACUUAAAUAACUCUGAUGAUAAAGAGAAUAUAUAAGUGCAAAGUAACGCGCGAUGGGAAGUGAAAUGAAAUGCGAGAGGCUUCUUUAUACCUCUCACCUUUUUCAUUUCUACAAUCCAGCUUCAAAUCACCAGGCAACGCAAACUAGCUUUAAACCGGUUUAAACUGGUUUAACCAGCACGUCAGCCAAUGUGAACUAGUUAAAACCGGUUUGACCAGCUCACCAGGUUAUGUAACUACUGUAAACCAGUUAAAGGACUAAAUGUGUGAAUAAAAAGGUUGAAGCUCUUUGCAUCACAUUUUCCAGAUGUUUGAACUCAUUCAUAACCCUGGUUUUGUUUGUCAUUGAUACCUGAAGUGAUCAGAGAUCACGUCACUGCCUGGAAAUGCGUCCGGGAGGGAAAUGUCAUGUUGAUAAAACCAAUAUCAGUUUACCUAUUGAUCAGACAUUGUCUGAUUGGAAUGAGUUAUUGUGUUUUAAAUCCUCUUAAACCAACAGCAGCUUCAGCUUUAAUCAAUGAACCUGAUCAGUAUUAUAACCUCAGUCAUCAGUCAUUAUGUAAUUAAUACAUAUAAUCAGUGUAUUAUCAGGUGCUUAUUAGGACCAUCUAUUACUUCUAAUCCUAGUGUGUAUAAUAGUAUUUUAUUAUUGUAGUAUUUUAUUUUGUAUGUAUAAACGUGUUAAGAGGAUCUAUUCAUGCUUGGAUUCACAUAGAAGAUGAAACAAACUCAUUCAUUCAUAUUUCAGAGGUCUUAAUCAGCAAGACUGUGACCGAGGAGACGAGGACGAAGAGGAGGAACGGGGAUAAAAAUCUGUUGCCGAUCGUCUCCGACCUGACGAGAGGAAUCUGUUGUGUAAACAUCAAACGGCGGCUACCUCCCCCCUCGCCGAGGCCUCCGAGCCCCCGAACCUCCGAGCAGAUGUCGAGCUCCUUCACUGGAUCUCUGAAGUCAACAACAAGCAGCAGCAGGACGAAGGUGUUCCUCCAGAACACGGAAACACCAGCAGCGGGUCAGUUCUACACGUCGCGUUGACACCUAAAUUAUUCAUGAGCGACGUGUCUUCAGCUCAAAAUACAGAUUGUACGAAGAGUCCCGUCUGUGAAUAUCAGCAGGUUAAAUGUGCCGGUGUCCCAUUUCUGAACUGCAGCUUGAUGAACAGGAUUAAGGAGACGGAAACCUGAUACCAGCUUUAACUGGAUUGUUUUCAGCGUGAAAAUGAAAAUCUCUGCAGAGAUAAUCUCAUCAACAAACACUCAAGCUUUUACUUUGAAAGCCUCAGGGAGGAAGUUUGGCACAUUCUGGGGUGUUUAGGGACAAAAAAAUGUGUAAUUCAGACGUGAAAAGAAAGCAGAACUGCUUCAUACUGUAAAUGAAAGAGGUUCUCUGGAGCUCAUUUGACUCCACAGCGUCGUCUCAUCCGUCCUUCCGUCCAGCUGCAAAGGAGACCUCCACCCUCACCCGUCUGCUCUCACUCCACCCGUCACUCAUCUCACUCUUCAAAGGUCUCAGGCCUGAAGCAGCCCAGUGAGCACAGACCACAAUUUCAUCGUCGAUUUCAAUACGGCAGAAAAACGCUUUUCCCCGUUUUUAUUAUGAAACGUCGACAUGUCACAAAACCCAGAUCUGUUUGAAAAUGUUGAUUUGUGGGUCGAUGAUUUGACGAUGACAUUUAAAGAAGGAAAAGCCGGUUUCGUUCGACAAUCCGUAGCCGUAUUUAAAGAACAUCCCGCUGAGCAGCACUCAGGAUUUCAUUGUUGAUUUUUAGUGGAAAACUGGAUGAUUUGUCUCUCUUCUUCAACUACAUUUGAAGCAACUCAAACUGCUUUAUUAUUCCAACGAUGCAAUCCAAAUUUUGCCCCGUUAGCUUCAGUUUGUGCUCAUCGCUAGCUUGUAGCGUAGCCCGACGUUAUACAAGAUAGAGUUUUUAGACCAUUUCCCAUAUAAAAUAAACAUUUGUGGGACUGUGAAUCCCGUGAAAUACGGCAGCGAGUGAAUAUUAAUCUACUAAGUAGUUUAUUUGCACAUAUCCAUUUGAAAUAUGGCGGACCUUCUGAAUUCAGCUCCUGCUUUGACAACAGCAAGAACGCUGUUUGUAUACUUAUAUUACACAUAUUUUUGUUUAUUAAAUACAUGUUAAUUGUUGCAUGUGUCAUCUUCUUUGUAUUGUAGGUGGAGACAGUUGAUGUGUGUCACUGUGACUUAAUUUAAAUUGAUAAAUGUUCGCUGUGAGUGUUUUGAAGUUCAAAAGAAUUUCAAAAUAAGUUGUUGGUUAGUUUGUUUUCGUUGAGAAGAUGCGGAUUAAAGCUCCACACUUAUAGUAUGAAAUGUGAAAUAUUAAUAAAAUCACAAUAUGGAAGAUCAUAUAAAGUCACUCAAACCACAGAUAAAGAAGGUUUUCAAAUCGUGGUGAAAAACGUCUUUUAGACAUCAACCGAAUUUCACAAUGUUCACUGGUAAACAAACAAACAAAUCAACAAACAAACAAACAGCUCUCCGCCGCCGACUGUCUGGUUUUACGCACCACGUCACAGGAACCUCCACAUAUCAAACAGGUCAAGGUCAAACCGGACCACACAGACCCACCGACCCGGGACCAGGACCAGGACCGCGGUGGAACCGGUACCGGAUGCGGGUGGGUUCGUGCGCAGAGAGGCGGGGGGGUCGUACCUGCGUGCGGAGCGGCUCUCCGUGCUCAAUGACGCUGAGGAACGGGAUCUCCAGGAACGAGGCCAUGAAGUCCACCUGUAGCAGCUCCUCGCGGCUCUGCGGGAAGGCCAGCACGGCGGAGACUCCUUGCACCACCACGCCCUGACACACGCACCGGAACAGGGACUCCGGGUCCGCGGCGGCCGGCUGGCGGGAAACAAGCUCCAGGCUCAAGUUGUAGGGAAGAAAGUUGUUCCGCUCCCGGUUCGGGUCCCUGUCCCGGUCCCUGUCCCGGUCCCGGUCCCGGUCCAUCGCGGCCGCCGCGCGGCUCAGCGCCGCCUGGACCUGAACGCGAGCCCCCCGCUGCGCCGGGAGGAGCGCGCCGACGCGCACCGUGUGUCCGAUCUGAGCCAGGAGGUGGCACGGCUGCGGAUGGAGGAGGCACGGCGGCAGGAGGUGCAAAAGGAGCAAGGUGAGGAGAGUCCGGGACCAGGAGGGAGAGGAGGAGGAGGAGGAGGUGAAAGACAUCCUGCUGCGCUCUCAGCAUCGCUCUGCCGCUCCUCCGGUUUCUCCUUCUGCUCCGAGACACCGAGAGGGGAGACUGAGGAGACCGCAAGGGGGGGGGAGGAGGACACGGGAGGGGAGGCGGCUUCCCCAAAACAGGAGGUGCAGAGGAGCCGGUGAUAGGAGAGGAAAGGAGGAGAGGAACCCACUGAGCAACACGUUUCGCACGUGUGGGUUUGCUUUGAAUGAAGGUUAUUCAAGGUUGAAAAGUCAAAGUUCACUUUGUUCUUUUAGUAGAAGGUCAAUAAACUUCAGAUCUUCAAUGCGGCGCCGCUUCGAGACAUCGAACAAAUAGCACAGAAAUGAGGAUAUGUCACAUAACUAAUAAUAGCAAAUAAUAAAUAAAAUGUAGCAAUUGUUUCAGUGAUAUGAAAUAAGUAAAUGGUAAAUAAAUUCAGAACGUAAUAUGCAAAUAUUAGAAAUGGAGAAUGACAAAAGAAAGAAAAAAGAAGGAUAUAAAAAGAUAUUGUCUCUUGUCAUAACUUGUGGAACAUCACAGGAUUUUCCAGGAAUGUUCUUGAACCCUUGCUUGUUGCCAUGAAGACCUCGUCCUGCUAACAAUAAUAAUAAUAAUAAUAACAAUAAAAUGUAAAAAGCGGACGUUGUGCAGCGCGGCAGCGUGACUUUGCGGGUUAAAGCGAUUCUCUCACACACAUCUGGAAACACAUCUGUGGGCAGAAGAGAGCGCGGGAAGAAGACGGCGGCCGACUGACGGUUUGAUAAAGUCACGUGAGCGUUGAGUCAAAUCUUUUGAAGUCGGGAGAAGAUCUUUAUCAGUCCGCCGUCGCUCUGAGCUCAGCUGCCUGAUCCUCCGAAGACAGACGAUCGAUUCUUUCACUGCAUCCAGAGCCCGAACCCAUGAACCCAUGAAGGAAGCUAAAGUGUUUCCAAGUGAAGCUUCUAGUUCAAGUUUGACCGAACCAGAUGUUUCCUCACAAACGACGUGAUUGCGUCUGAAAUGCAUUAUAUAUUGUUCCCUUCAUGGCUUCUUCACUUACACUUC